rnacentral:tRNA from 1 species
GGAGAUGUGGCUGAGUGGUUGAAGGCACCAGUUUCGAAAACUGGCAUCGGGGCGACUCGAUCGUGAGUUCAAAUCUCACCAUCUCCGCCU